AAUUGUCCAGGCGGGGAACAAUAGUUUCAUAUAAAUACAUAGCAAAUUAAAUCGUGUGACUGAAAAGAGAUCGGAAAAUGUUUUGCUGGCGUCUUUAACGGAUUUGUUCGGUGAGAAUCAAUCAGUGGUUAAACAUACAAGAUUGUCCCCGAGCUCUCAAAAUUCAUGGUCGAGUGAUUUUCCAUGCACUUUACUGUUAGCUACAUUUGCGUGUAGUUUGUGAGAGGGACGUGACGGAACAAAAGUAUGGCAGGUUUGGAAUUGUUUCUUUUAUUUUAGGACGUCGAAGAACUUAGUAUCAAUAAAAAAUAUAUGAAUGGAUAGUUGACAUAUGAGGUCUAACAAAGUAUUGACACGGAUGACUGACGUGUGAUAUGUAAAAAUGAUGGCCAUGUUGAUGACAUUGUUGUUGAUGAUGUUGUUUUGAUGAGGACGUCCAUGGGUGUUACAGUGAUGAUGAUAUGACGUUGUUCAAGUGAGCAUCAGCAGACGUAAAGCAGGAAAUGGCGGGAAGAAUCCUAGCAGACGACAGUUGUCGCGCAGAUGCAAUCAUGCACCAUAUCAGACUGCCCGAAAUUACAGGCUGGCCCAGCUCUAUACUGGACUCGCUUUCAGCAUGUUAGGGUUUGAAAAAGGAAAUCAUAACUUUGUAACGUAUGUCUUGUCUACUUUUUGAAAAAUAAACUUUCGUGUCAAUGUAAUAAUUAUGUUGACAUAUCAUUAUUGUCUAAUGUUUCAUAAUGAACCAUUUUUAGCCCAACUGUUUGAAAAACGAGUAAGGGCUAUUUUAGUCACUUGGUCGUCUGUUCUCGUAAAACACUUCGUUUUGCAUAUGUUUUGUGUGUAACUUCCUACCUCAGAAUUCAUUAUGAUUGUGUAACGGGGAACAUAAUCUAAACACCUUUAACUUUAAACUAGAUUUUGAUUUAUAUAAUUACAUGUAUGCCACUUAGUCAACUUGAUUUAAAGCAGUCAUGUUUAAAAUAAUAAUUUAAGUUUACAAUAUAUUCUUAUCAAAUGAGCAUAAUAAUGCUGAGUUAUGGGUCAUUAAGAACAUUUCAGUAAUUUAAACAAAUAACUUACAAUUAUUUUUAAAAUGCUAAAAAAAUGUAACAUUUGU